AUUGAACGCUGGCGGCAGGCUUAACACAUGCAAGUCGAGCGGAGAGAGGUAGCUUGCUACUGAUCUUAGCGGCGGACGGGUGAGUAAUGCUUAGGAAUCUGCCUAUUAGUGGGGGACAACAUUUCGAAAGGAAUGCUAAUACCGCAUACGUCCUACGGGAGAAAGCAGGGGAUCUUCGGACCUUGCGCUAAUAGAUGAGCCUAAGUCAGAUUAGCUAGUUGGUGGGGUAAAGGCCUACCAAGGCGACGAUCUGUAGCGGGUCUGAGAGGAUGAUCAGCGAAACUGGGACUGAGACACGGCCCAGACUCCUACGGGAGGCAGCAGUGAGGAAUAUUGGACAAUGGGCGGAAGCCUGAUCCAGCCAUGCCGCGUGUGUGAAGAAGGCCUUAUGGUUGUAAAGCACUUUAAGCGAGGAGGAGGCUACUUUAGUUAAUACCUAGAGAUAGUGGACGUUACUCGCAGAAUAAGCACCGGCUAACUCUGUGCCAGCCGCCGCGGUAACAC
rnacentral:rRNA from 1 species